GAAAUAUAAAGUUUAAAAUAAAGCUGCUAACUUUAUUUUUAGUGGUUUAAAUCCAUUAAUAUUUCU
rnacentral:tRNA from 1 species